UCCUAUUACCUCAUCCUGGUAUCUACUUCUGGAUCGAUGGCCAUUUGAACCUCUAGCUUUGUUCCAAGAGAUACACAUUCAGUUAUUAAGAUAUGUACUCGGUAAAUUUGUUAUUAUCAUGUGCAGCCAGCAUCUAGACUUUUAAGUUAUGUAAUUAUAAGCUUAGGUGAAUUUAGAUCUGCAACUCACUCCGCCUAGUGAAUUUGAAAAAGAAAUUUGAGUGUGUGGUGGAACCCUUUCCUUGCUGUGUGGGAGGAACCUUUCUGAAUUUGUCAUAUUGAGCAAAAAUUUUGAAAACGCUGAGUGCUGAAUCUCUCUUUCAUCCAACGUUUAGUAAAUUUAUUGUCUUGCUUGAAAUAUCAAUUGGGAAGAGUCAAUCCGUUCAAGUGAGAAUAUUAUACCCCAUCAAAUGAUGGUAGUAAUUCUCAUAUAUUGUGUUUUUAUGGUUAGUCAAGAAGUACUAAUGGUGGAUCCAUUACAUUAUUUGGUUAGUUUUGUCUUCGGAUGGUUUUUUAUUGUGCUGCUGUCCUUCAGGAGGAGUAGCUUCUGAGAGGAUUCACACUUAAAUGAUGCUAGUAAUUCCCAUGUAUUGUGCUUAAUGAUUGAUCCAGGAAGUUUUAAUGGGGGACCUGUUUAGACAGAGGGAUGCUAUAGUUCAUUUUAUUUCAAGUUUGAAGCUUCUUUUAUUCAUCUUCACAGCCUUAUCAACCUUUUCUUGUCCAAGAUAUGUGUUUCCUUCUCCAUCUCUCUUUUCUUGUAAUCUUUAAAUACAUUUUGCGGAAAUCCUUUAUCGAUAUGAUUUCUUUCCUGGACUGGGAUGGCUGUUGACCAGAUCUACAUGGAAGGAAUUAUCCCCAAAGUGGCCUAAGGCAUAUCCUUAUUGGUUUGAUAUAUUGGUUUUAGAUCACAUAUGUUUAUAGCUCAUGUGUCUCCCGAAAUUUUCUUUGACAACACUAACUUUCUGGGAUGACUGGUUGAGGCUACAAGAGAACCACCAAGGUCGACAAUUUAUUCGGCCAGAACACGUAUACUCUGAUGUGUGGUCACUUCAGUCUUGUGCAGUUACUUUGCAAGUUUUGCAUGUAUAAUAUAGUAUGUAAAUUUAUAACUGAUUAUUCACGGCCAUGCUCAUGGUAGAGGGCUUAUAACGGCUCCCUUACGCAUUGUCCUUGCUUGUAUUAAUGAUUCUAGAGUUGGAUACUCUCUUUCUCUCUUACUCGCACAAAAGAUAUGAUGCUUUCUCCCACGUGCAGGAUGGUGUACCAAGGACAGCAUGUGAAGGAGCAGUAAUCUCCCGGUAUUCACCACCAUGGCAUGUGUUUCUAGUGGGUCCGGAUUCUUUCAGGCUGCUUGGGAUCAAACGUGUUUGAUGCAUUGAGGUGAGGUUCCACGGCGCUGGUAAAUCAUGGUGCCAGACCUGAGCUUCCUCUUUCCUCCUCAACGCCUAGUGUAACUGGUGCACUAUCAGAGGAACCACCGGGAGCAUAGCAACUGAAGCUCGCUGAUGAGCAGAAGUGUAGAGGGCUGACGAUUCCUUUUGCGAUUUUGAUUGAGGAGAGGGAGGAUUCUUCUGAACGGCAGUGUCCAGUCCAUACAUAUGCCUUUAAAUGGCCGAAGCAAGCCGUCAUUCAUUGGAAGAGAGCCAUAGGUCAUGUUAGCUUACUUUUACACUUAAUAGCACGUAACCUCAACAAAUUUUGUUGCUCCCGAAGAAACAUACAUCUGUCUCUCGCCAUGUUUCCCCGCUCUUUUGCCCACCGCUUUGGCGGGUUGGAGCGCGGAGGACUAAAAUGUAAGAGACCCACACAGUCAAAAGUGGGAGUUCAUGCCUGUCUUUGUAUGCAAAACACGAGGAACUUCUAGUCAUGUGUGUUGUGAACAAAAUGGUGAGAAAAAUUUGGUACAAAGUUUAUUUAUAAA
rnacentral:lncRNA from 1 species